AUUGAACGCUGGCGGCGUGCUUAACACAUGCAAGUCGAUCGGUAACGCGGGGGCAACCCUGGCGACGAGAGGCGGACGGGUGAGGAACGCUUGGGAAUCUGCCUAUCAGCGGGGGACAACACGGGGAAACUCGUGCUAAUACCGCAUACGCUCUACGGAGGAAAGCCGGGGACCGCAAGGCCUGGCACUGAUAGAUGAGCCCAAGUCGGAUUAGCUAGUUGGCGGGGUAACGGCCCACCAAGGCGACGAUCCGUAGCUGGUCUGAGAGGACGAUCAGACACGCGGGGACUGAGACACGGCCCGGACUCCACCGGGAGGCAGCAGUGGGGAAUAUUGGACAAUGGGGGAAACCCUGAUCCAGCGACGCCGCGUGGGUGAAGAAGGCCUGCGGGUUGUAAAGCCCUUUCGGUAGGGACGAAAGCUCUCGACCUAACACGUCGGGAGGUUGACUUAACCUACAAAAGAAGCACCGGCUAACUCUGUGCCAGCCGCCGCCGUAACAC
rnacentral:rRNA from 1 species